CUUUCACCUGUGCGUCCAUAUAAGACUGUAAGUAGUUCUGUUAUCACAUAUUUAACAAUUCAUCAGGUUUAUUUAUUCACAGCAUUCUUCAUUAUCAAACUCUCCUUUUGCAGUACCCUCAGUUUUCUCUACAUGCUCCAUACAUUAAUAUUCGUAAUAUUUAUUGUUGUUUUAUACCGUGUUUAUAUGUCGUUAUUUAAGUUUCGCAUCGCUUUACAUGGAGCAUGCAGGCUCCACUUAGGGACCGACGUCAAUUUCCCAGACACUGCCUGCAGGAACGUGUCUGUGCGGCAGAGAAGUGACUGGCAUUUGUUAACACUCACUAAGUGCUAAAGAGUUAUUUCAGUGUUUUUUUUUCUCUGUUUUCCUGUUCAUUGUUACAUUUCUCUGUUUUCUAUCGUUUGACAUUUAUUUCAGGUUUAUACAGAGUGAUUAAUCAGUGUUACAUUAAUGUAUACAUAUCAUAUUUAUUCACCUUUUUUAUUUUAUUGCAGAAACCACACACAAACAACGAAGAGUGGAAAUUGGAAGAGAGUGUUUUCUGUUUGCCAUCAGUCAUUGUUCUGACCGGACUACCUGGUCUGACUGUAUUCAGUUCUAUUGAGGUCAGUAUGGAGUCGAGUUAAACCAUUGCCUCUCUUACAGCUGCCGUUAAGAGAAUCCUGCUGCAAAUCAUAGAGGUG